rnacentral:lncRNA from 1 species
CCUUAAGAGAAAGCUUGGUUCUGUGCCUCAGGGCUGAGUUUAAAGCCAAGAAUGAGUUGAGUCUGGGAGUGUGGAAGCACUACCUGUCUGAGUGGGCGUUAAGACGCUUCUCUGGAGUAAAUGAAAGUUAAUCAGGAGAAGAAAAGAGGCUGUACAGAAUUCAGAACAUGAUUUCAGGUUUAAGGGAAGGCAGAAACACCCGAGGGUUACUGUUUGCACAGGGAACUAAGCUGUCACCUGGCCCCGGGCUCCUGAGGCCUCCUUGGCUUCGCCUGCGUCCACACCUGUAGCCCCCCCGCCACACCCCACCCACCUCCGGGCCUCCGGAGACGGGGCUGGGCCGGGCGCAUUUUCCCGGACUUUUCGAUCGCCCUCAGCCUUGACUGCCGCCCUGGACUGGAAGGAAGAGGCAGCGGGCAGAAGCCUUUCCCAGCCAAAGACCGCGGGUGGCCACGUGCUCAAGACUGGUCUGCGUUUUCAGUCCCGGGGCGCGAGGAACAAAACAUCCACCCUAGCGAGCUGCUCCUGCAAAAACGGGGACACCUCUUGCCACUGAAAGUCUCUGACGUGUCGAUGGAGUUACACUGAUGUAUUAAUUUAUUCGGCAAACAUGCAUGGGACUACGCCAGGCGUGGCUCUAGGUGCUGCCGACACUGGGAUGAAACAGCCGGGAUCCCUGCCCCUGUGGAACUUGCAUUCCAGCAAUGGGAGACAGACCAUGAGUGUGUCUCAUAUGCAUUCGAAGACAAAUAAAGCAGGGAAAAAGAGGAGACAGAACCUAGGUGACCAGUUAUGAAGUAUGAAGGUGUUGUCUUCUGUCCUCAACCUCCGGUCGCCGGGACCCUGCAGAGCUCAGCCGACUCCGGGUUAGCAUGGCCAGUUGGGGGCGUGAGAGAGCAGCCGCAGCGGGGCGGCGGGAGGAUGGGAGCGGCCGCAGCCCGUGUGCUUCCCGGGGACUUCCCGUCCACCUGGGGGUCCCAGCAGCCCCGCCCAGCACUUCUUCACCCUGGCCUCCCUGUGGCUGCGCCUGAAUCCAGACCGCGCUUUUCCCCACACUCAGAGGACCAGCCUGAUGGCCCCCGUCCCUGAGCCUGCGGCCCCUGCAUAGAGGCUCUACGUCCCAGGCACAGGGACCCUCCUCCAGCUUCUGAGCUUCAGUCACUCCCGCCUUUCCCCUCUGCUCCCUCAUCCUGGGGGGCAUGCUGCCUGCGGCACUGCCUCGGUGACAGCUUGGAGUGCUGUCUGUUCAGCUCCCCAGUUAACACAUUCUAGCUAGUUAGCAAGCUUACUCUCUCUCUGAGAGCUCGGGGGGUUUCUGUCUCCUGACGGGGCCCUGACUGGUACCCCAGGCUCCAUGAGAGCACCGUGGACAACAGGAGCAGCCGAACACGCAGAAUCUGCGGGAAGGGGAAUCGGGCAGUGGGUGCGGCCCGUGCAAAGGCCCGGCGGCAGCAGCCAUCCAGGGAAGUCCCACCUGAAGGCAGU